CAAUCGUAACCAAAUAGAUCUCAGCUGUAAAUAAAUUAGUACCUAUUUAAUUUCGCUGACCGAGCUGUGACGUAAACAAUUUACGUGUAAAUCGAUCAGCAAAAAUUGCAGCAUAGUAUUCCCAAACGCUCGAAAUACGAGAGGUCGGCAGAUGGGCAGCUGAAAUAUGCAACUGCAACAUUAGUGCUGUAUUGCGGUCUCUGGUGUACUUACUCUCGUUCGCUGAAAUAGCAAGCUAGGUAUUUGUUAUUGCGAGUCAAAUAAUUGACAGAAUAAGUAAGAAGUACCUACUCCAGAAGUACAACAGACCGCAAUAAACCUGAAUCUCGGCGACGAGUGAAAUUUAUAUUGUAAGUUGUAAGCCAUACAAAUCCGCCAGUUUAUAGGCCGGGACCCACUUUCAGGAUGCUCUGCCUACUCCCAAUUUGUGAGGAUACAUAAAAUGACACUUGCUCCCGGCUUCAUAGGUACAUAAAUAUAGGAAGAAAAAUUAGCACUUUGGCUUCAUGUAACUAAUAGUUUGUAGCUUUGGUAAAUCCUGUGAAAGCCUAAUUCUUGAAAAAUUACAAUCGAAACAUUUA